GACGAACGCUGGCGGCGUGCUUAACACAUGCAAGUCGAACGGAAAGGCCCUGCUUUUGUGGGGUGCUCGAGUGGCGAACGGGUGAGUAACACGUGAGUAACCUGCCCUUGACUUUGGGAUAACUUCAGGAAACUGGGGCUAAUAUCGGAUAGGAGCUCCUGCUGCAUGGUGGGGGUUGGAAAGUUUCGGCUGUUGGGGAUGGACUCGCGGCUUAUCAGCUUGUUGGUGGGGUAGUGGCUUACCAAGGCUUUGACGGGUAGCCGGCCUGAGAGGGUGACCGGCGACAUUGGGACUGAGAUACGGACCAGACUCCUACGGGAGGCAGCAGUGGGGAAUAUUGCACAAUGGGCGGAAGCCUGAUGCAGCAACGCCGCGUGCGGGAUGACGGCCUUCGGGUUGUAAACCGCUUUCGAAUGUGACGAAGCGUGAGUGACGGUAAUGGGUAAAGAAGCACCGGCUAACUACGUG
rnacentral:rRNA from 1 species